GACGAACGCUGGCGGCGUGCUUAACACAUGCAAGUCGAACGGAAAGGCCCUGCUUUUGUGGGGUGCUCGAGUGGCGAACGGGUGAGUAACACGUGAGUAACCUGCCCUUGACUUUGGGAUAACUUCAGGAAACUGGGGCUAAUACCGGAUAGGAGCUCCUGCUGCAUGGUGGGGGUUGGAAAGUUUCGGCGGUUGGGGAUGGACGCGCGGCUUAUCAGCUUGUUGGUGGGGUAGUGGCUUACCAAGCCUUUGACGGGUAGCCGGCCUGAGAGGGUGACCGGCCACAUUGGGACUGAGAUACGGACCAGACUCCUACGGGAGGCAGCAGUGGGGAAUAUUGCACAAUGGGCGGAAGCCUGAUGCAGCAACGCCGCGUGCGGGAUGACGGCCUUCGGGUUGUAAACCGCUUUCGCCUGUGACGAAGCGUGAGUGACGGUAAUGGGUAAAGAAGCACCGGCUAACUACGUG
rnacentral:rRNA from 1 species